UCUGGGUCCAACCUCCCACCCGUGUUUAUCGUACCUUGUUGCUUCGGCGGGCCCGCCGCAAGGCCGCCGGGGGGCAUCUGCCCUCUGGCCCGCGCCCGCCGAAGACACCAUUGAACGCUNUCUGAAGAUUGCAGUCUGAGCAAUUAGUUAAAUAACUUAAAACUUUCAACAACGGAUCUCUUGGUUCCGGCAUCGAUGAAGAACGCAGCGAAAUGCGAUACGUAAUGUGAAUUGCAGAAUUCAGUGAAUCAUCGAGUCUUUGAACGCACAUUGCGCCCCCUGGUAUUCCGGGGGGCAUGCCUGUCCGAGCGUCAUUGCUGCCCUCAAGCACGGCUUGUGUGUUGGGCUCCGUCCUCCUUCCGGGGGGACGGGCCCGAAAGGCAGCGGCGGCACCGCGUCCGGUCCUCGAGCGUAUGGGGCUUCGUCACCCGCUCUGCAGGCCCGGCCGGCGCUUGCCGACACAUCAAUCUUUUUUCCAGGUUGACCUCGGAUCAGGUAGGGAUACCCGCUGAACUUAAGCAUAUCAAUAAGCGGAGGAA
rnacentral:rRNA from 1 species